rnacentral:tRNA from 1 species
CUAAGGAUGGUUCUUCAGAAGCUUGCUUCUAUCGAACCGUUUUAGAAACAUCAGUGGCCAACGGUCGUCAGGAUCGUUGAGCUGCAUUGGCGGGAUUUCGCCGUCUACGUUUCUCUUUCUUCGCGGACGAACACGCGCUGGGCCUGUAUGCGCAGGAUCCCUGGUCCUUGACGGGAUAUGCGUUAGGGGCUUGUAGCUCAGUUGGUUAGAGCGCGCGCUUGAUAAGCGUGAGGUCGGAAGUUCAAGUCUUCCCAGGCCCACCACACUCAUCGGGUAAGCAUUCGUCUUCUGGUUACGGGGCCAUAGCUCAGCUGGGAGAGCGCGUGCUUUGCAAGCAUGAGGUCGUCGGUUCGAUCCCGUCUGGCUCCACCAGAUGGUUUGAUUGCCGACGCGCUGUGCACCUAAAUCGUCCGCGAAACAUCACUUCGCAUCCUGCUAGUCUGGAUAGACAGCAGGUUGCGUGAUUUCUGACAUCGUAAAGAGGAGAUCGAUCCGAGUUGGAUCGUGCAGAGAAUAUCUGCGCGAGACUUCAUUAUCUCCGGAUCAUUUCGGCGCUCGCGCGUCCUUCAAGGUCAAACUUGAAAGACAUGCGAGUUGUAAAUGAUCCUUUUAGCGAAGCUUGACCGCCUCGCUAUCGGAACGAUCUUACGAAGCAAGCUGGUCUUUCUAAUCAUUGUCCGGCUGCAGAUAGCGUUCAUCGAGGGCGCGUGCCGCAAGGUAGUUCUGCAGACAACAUUCUGCCGAGUGUGUGGACAUUGAUAAUGAGAGC